CCUUGAGCUACACCUUUAAGUUUCUGAGGGGUUGAAAAGGAGCCAAAAUGCUGUUUCAGGUCAGUUCAUUCUUAUUUCAACAAAGACAGACUUCCAGCUCCAAGUAUGUCUGCUUAAAUUCAGUUCUCACAAAGGCUUUGCAUGGAGUGAUCACCAAAGCAGUCCCUCUAGCAUAAAAGUCUAAAAGCAGAUGAGAGAAACCCUGGAACUGUAGAAGCUGAUUGAAAAUUUAUCUUCCCUACUUGCUGUUGGAGUGGGACCCACAUGUGUAAGCAGAGUCUCCAGGCUGCUUCCCCGUCCUGCCAGGGGCUCAGUCCCUCAGCCCACGUCCCUCUGUCCAGAGUUCUGCAGCUCUCUGAAGCUCGACGUGGUAACCAUGGUGA